rnacentral:rRNA from 1 species
AGUGAACGCUGGCGGUAGGCCUAACACAUGCAAGUCGAACGGCAGCACAGUAAGAGCUUGCUCUUACGGGUGGCGAGUGGCGGACGGGUGAGGAAUACAUCGGAAUCUACUUUUUCGUGGGGGAUAACGUAGGGAAACUUACGCUAAUACCGCAUACGACCUACGGGUGAAAGCAGGGGAUCUUCGGACCUUGCGCGAUUGAAUGAGCCGAUGUCGGAUUAGCUAGUUGGUGGGGUAAAGGCCCACCAAGGCGACGAUCCGUAGCUGGUCUGAGAGGAUGAUCAGCUACACUGGAACUGAGACACGGUCCAGACUCCUACGGGAGGCAGCAGUGGGGAAUAUUGGACAAUGGGCGCAAGCCUGAUCCAGCCAUACCGCGUGGGUGAAGAAGGCCUUCGGGUUGUAAAGCCCUUUUGUUGGGAAAGAAAAGCAGCAGGUUAAUACCCCGCUGUUCUGACGGUACCCAAAGAAUAAGCACCGGCUAACUUCGUG